CCAACCAUAGCUCAGUUAGUAGAGCGGUGGACUGUAGAGUACGACGAAGCCAUCCAUAGGUCGUGUGUGCAACUCACACUGGUUGGA